rnacentral:rRNA from 1 species
UACGAACCGUCCAAACGUUAUUCGGAUUCUUUGGGCUUAAAGGGUACGUAGGCGGCCCUGUUAGUCGGGUGUGAAAUCCCUCGGCUUAACCGAGGAACUGCGCCCGAUACUGCAGGGCUUGAGGGAGACAGAGGUAAGCGGAACUGAUGGUGGAGCGGUGAAAUGCGUUGAUAUCAUCAGGAACACCAGUGGCGAAAGCGGCUUACUGGGUCUCUUCUGACGCUGAGGUACUAAAGCUAGGGGAGCGAACGGG